rnacentral:lncRNA from 1 species
CAUCAUUCCCAACAUUCGGAUGUUGAAAUAUAUUCUCCCAGUGUUUAUUGUUUGAUGUUGAAGUUUACAGUUGCCAGAGUCUCUCUGUAAUUUUUAAUACAGCAGGGCAAGAGAGAGCAAGUUCUCUCUAAAUUUAAGACCGGCUGUUAAGUCAUAAAAACCGGCCCAACUCCCCCCUCUCCUGUGGGAGAGAGGGGGGUCUGGCUAUCUGUCAGCCAUUGCCAGUUGAUCUGCACCUUUGAUCCUCACCAAGGAGAGAGAGUCAUGACACCAUGGACUAAACAACCAAAGAUUUCAAGAUUAAAGUCUGGUUUAUACUACAGGCUUCUUCUGAUGGAGAGAUGUAUGACAUGAGCAGGGUCAACAGUCAACCUAGAUAGACAACUGCUUGCUGCCUGACUCCACAG